GCGCCACUAGCUCAAUGGAUAGAGCAUCGGACUUCGGAUCCGAGGGUUGGGGGUUCAAGUCCCUCGUGGCGCACCA
rnacentral:tRNA from 1 species